UAAAUGACUCUCGACAACGGAUAUCUCGGCUCUCGCAUCGAUGAAGAACGUAGCGAAAUGCGAUACUUGGUGUGAAUUACAGAAUCCCGCAAACCAUCGAGUCUUUGUACACAAGUUGCGCCCGAAGCCAUUAGGCUGAGGGCACGUCUGCCUGGGCCUCUCAC
rnacentral:rRNA from 1 species